rnacentral:tRNA from 1 species
UCCCUCAUAGUUCAGUUGGUAAAGAAUCUGCCUGCAAUGCAGGAGACCCAGGUUCGAUUCCUGGGUUGGGAA